rnacentral:lncRNA from 1 species
AAGAUUCAAUUCUUUUUUCUAAACAAGGUAAUAUUAGUUAUCCAUUGAUUUGGCAGACGCAUGAUGUGUGAAUUCUACCUCACACGUUCAUAUAUUUGGUUCUUCAUUGAGUUUUUAUUUGCUUAUAGCAACUCACUCAAUCUUUUUAUAUUGAACUAUAGGUUUUUAAAUACGACCAUGCAUGUAUUCAUAAUAAUGAACAUAUAUGUUUAAAAACGAAGCUUACUACGUAAGUGAAUCCUAAUAUAGAAUGAAUUUAUGCGGAUGGAGAAAAAAGUUAAGAGUAUAAAAAAUGGGUAUUGUGGUCCACAGGCUUAACCAUUUUUGCUUAAGAAUAAUACUACACUGAUGUCUAAGAGAAAAUUCCAAUCUCAUUAGAUCAAAGUCAUCUACCACUUCAAGCCUUUGAUAAUCCUGGCCUGAACCCUUCUCUUCAAAGGACAAAGCAUCUUCUUUCACUUUCAAAAAAUCCAACCACCAUAUAUUAAGCAUCUUGAACAACAUUAUGGAACCCUUAAUGUGUACCUUUUAGAAUUAGAUGAGUGAAGUAUCUUUUAUUAAAACAUUAAGGGCUGGUAUUCUUUUAUAAAAACAUUAAGGGCUCAUUUGAUGGUUGGUAUACGAUAAAAACAUGAUAGGAUAAAGAGUUUGACAUAAUAAUAUGAACAAUGAUGAUAAUGAUAGUAGUGUUCGAGGCGUGAGGGUACGAAGGGAAACUAUAUUAUCUUAUCAUGCUAUUGCUCUACACAAAUGUUGCACAAUAAUUUUGUCAUUGUGAAACUUAGCCCUUCAUUACUAUUUUAACAAGAGAAAAUAAGUAUACGUUGAUGGUGUAUGAGUUUUAUAUACUGUCAUUGUAUUAUUCAUCAUUUAUAUUUAAUAAACUAGUACCGAUGUAAAGAGUGUACCUUUUAACUGAUGUGUUUAUCCAUCCAGCAAACUAGGACUGUCUCAUUUAACUUUGUUGUAACAAAAAAGUGAGUGCCAGUAAGAGAUUAAGCUGGAACCUGGAAGCAUAUCCAUAAUUGAACAUUGACUUAAUAAAAAAAGAACUAACCAAAAUGGAAAGAAUCACAAAGGCACUAAAAACAAUGGAUUAUGUUCAAUAAUUUGCAGUACAACAUCACAUUGAUACAAUACUAGAGUUAUAAGUUUGAGUUGAAAUUACACGAACUACUUAGAGAAAUGGCACCAUCAUCAAAUCAUACAAUAAUAAUAAUCUACCUUUAACAAGUGAGAUAGCUAGAAAUGUUGUGACAAUGAAUUGGCAGAUGAACCACCAAAUAUAAAAGCCACACUUGAUAUAUAUGAAGUAGUUAUCCAUAAAUAAAAAAUACCCUUUCACCCCACACCAGAAUUAACUACCAGAUUUAUGAAGAUUCAGUUACCAUAUCAAUCAGCAACUAUAACAAAGAUACAUUGAUGAUUCACUCACAUGAAACUAACUAUUUCAUUGCUCUUUAUUCAUGAAAACAAUAAUAAUAAGAAAAUAUAUUACUCUGAGAGAAGCAGGGAAGUGAUGUAGGGUGGUUCUGCACAACAACAUCAUUCAGAUAACUGUGUCUUGUUCUGUCCACUCUCUCUGUCCCAUUAUCCCUUCACUGUUUGGUUUUCAAGUUAGAAAUUUAUUAUUGUUUGUGGCAAAAUAUAAUGAGUUAUA